rnacentral:lncRNA from 1 species
AGAUAAUUUAAUAAGAAAUACAUCAUAUCCACAACUUUGUAUUGAGAUUUUUCAAAGGAAUAAAUGAAUUGACAAUAUGAUACUAGUGUGUAAACCAAAACCAUACAAAGAACGGCCAACAAGAGCACAAACGUGUAAAACCCUCACAAUGGUCCAAAUAAGAGGAUAUGAGCUCUUCAACAAAAGAAUCAAAGGAGGAAGAUACAUGCUCAACACUGCAACUCCUCGGGACAAGGCUCUUCCCGAGAGUGUUUCAUCCUUCCACCACAUUUGCAUCCAGUGGCAAGCCCAUGUGGGUUAGAUUGUAGAGUGCAUCCUUGUUGCUAUCACCACAACAUCACAUCAUUGGAUACCAACAUGUGUCGGCUUACUUCCUGAUCAUGCCCAUGAAAAAAACAGAAUAAUUGAGAUGUCUUGGGGAAAAACUCAUUGUCUUAGCAUGUUUAGUCGCUAGCUAGGUAUCUAGUCCAUGUUCCAUGCUUAAUUCUACAAUUUACUUGGUCAAGCUUUAUUUAUUGCACCAACCUCGCCAUUAUCAAUCUAUAGUAGAUCCAACCUCGAUCACAUAGUGACACUUGACCAAGAUUCGUUGUGAACUACUUUUGUUGGACAAGAAUCAUAUAUUAUGUUUAUUCAAAAACUUUAGGUAAGGUGACCACGUGAGGUGGGGUGCAUAUAUGUGGGUGGCUUCAUUAUAACUCUCCCAUUCAUUUAUGAAACAUACUCCCCUUCUUUUUCUUCUUUUUCUCCGGACUUAUCAACAUUUAGCCAUUGCCCAAAUCGCUAGAUCUUCUAGGUCUACCCAAAGUCAGACGUCUGAAGCCAUGCAAGUCCUCAUAAUCAUCCAUAUUUAUUGCUACUUUAUAAUCAAUAAAGUAUGGUACCUGCGAGGGGUGGGAAAAGUUAUACUAGUGUCGAACCAAUAAUCAGGAAAAGGCCAUUUGAAGCACAUGUAUAAACAUUACUAUGCUUAGUGGGGGGUUGAAUAGACUAGCUAGUGACUCGUUUCCAAUAUUAAGUUUAUGGUAGUUUUUAGCUUUUAUAUCUCUAGCCUACAAACACCCUACACAAGCAAUUCUACAAGAGUAUACCAGCGGAAGACAUUAAAGUGUAUAUGUAAAGAGUAAAGGUUAGGAGAAUGUAGACACGUGGAGGCUCGACGAAGAUUUUUUUUUCCAUGGUUCGGGUAGUUGGCGCUAUUAUACUCAACGUUGAUGAAGACUUUGGACACGAAGGUUCUAGGAUCACUUAAGAUUCUGUUUGCAAGAUCCAAGGAGGUCUACACCCAUGAAGGGUCCAUAAUGGAGCAACCAACAUGUGCCAAGCUUGCAUACGACCACAAAGGUCUAGCCUCAGUUGGAGUAGAUCUUCACAAAAUAGGCGAUCUUCGGGACCAAACAAACUUCUUGGUUCCUUUGCACCAUGAAGGCUCCCAAGAACACAUGGUCGGUCUAAGAGGCGCAGACCCUCCAAAAGUAAUAAGAUUGAGGUUGCUUGGUGAUGAACCUCUUAUUUUUGUGCUUCAAAAGAUAAUCUCACACUCAAAACUCGAGAUGGGGCUUUGGAUUGGAAAGUUGGAGCGGAAAGAAAGGAGGGUGAUUAGAGCUCAACAGAGUGGCUUGAAAAGUUGGUGUAGAAAUCCCUUUGAACUCAGCAUGAGGAGUAGUUGUUCUCUCUCAAGUGAAAUUAUGGUAUCAGUGGGGUAUGUGUGUAGGUUGGACGCAAAAAUGUGAUUGUCGGGCGCUUUUUAGCAAAGCUCGGAGGCUCCAAAUGACCAGCUCAGAAUCAUUGAAUAAAACUAGAAGAUGUAACUUCCAAAUAGUUCUUAGGGACCGUUCUAAAGUCGUUCAGAGGCUCCGAUCGACCAAUGGCUCACCUACACAUGCUUCUGGAAGACGUUUGAAAAUUCUGAUCGAAAACAUUCACACAUUUCCAUGGUGGGUUGGAUUGAGAGCGCAUAACUAAUUAAGAUUUUGUGGCUACGCAUAGAUCUUGCAUGUGAAUAAUUUGGGAGAUCGGUCAAGGUUACUUAAACCGCCUUAAAAUCUAUCUAACCAUCCUUGCUCAAUUUUACUUUUCAUGUCCCAUGAGCGUAGCUGGUGCACAUUCAAUGUUUUUAAAGCAUUAAAGAGAAACGUCACCUACAUAUAUAUUGUACCAAAAGUAAUUAUCAAUCUUACGCGUCAUUGGACUACAAACCUCCAUAGCCUCAGGAGUGAAACGGCAUACGUGGGAAAUGAAACACGAGCCAAGAUAAGGGUAUGAAUUAGGUAUACCAUGAUAUUAACAAUUAAAAUUUCUCAAAAUAAAUCCACAUGAAAACCAAUAAAUCGAACCGGAAGAAAUUGGGCAACUAUGUAUGGUCGAUGGAGAACUUGAGGAUGGGGGUUUCGGUUCUCCGUCCCUUGGUGUGGUGGUGAAAUGGAGACUACGUAUAUCUUGAUGGCAAGAGUUCUAUAUGUUAUAUUUUAUAUCUCAAUGCAGAGAGAGACAAAUAUGAAGCAUUGGGGCACACACCAAGGUGUGAUCCUUGUAUAGUUGAACCAUGACAACCAACUGGACCAUACAAGGACUCUUUAGUUGGUGUUCCUGAUGCACCUCUUGCGACAUUCUUCUUCUUCACUUCCCUUUCUUGGUGAAUUUAUUGAGUCGUGUCUUCAUGAGACAUCAAUUGUUGACAUCUUAGGAAUGAAUGUACAUCAAGACUUAUGGUAUAUAUACAGUAAUAAAAAUAUAGAUAAGGUGCAAAAUCGCACAUGCAAAUAUGUAAGAAAAAUGCAUGCGCCAACAUCCACCUACAUGAUUCAUUGAAAGACCUUGCUUAUCCAUUCAUCUUCCUCACCACUAACUAGCUAAAUAAUAUUUUGGUACCAUUUCUGACAAUAUAAUUGGCAAUUCCUCAUACGCACACAUUGCAACACCGUCGAUAGUAGUCCAAGUAAAUUUAAUCUCAAUUCCAUCUAGUAAUUGCAUUUACGAGCUUCUCCCUAUAAUGAUGAGCUAAGCCCCCUACAUUGUUUCUCUAUAAUCCUCUGUUCUUUCCUUCACUUAAAAUGGUGUCUUCUUCAAUUGGGUUUAGCUCACCGGCCAACUAACACCACAUUCCGGCCAGCCCUGGAAGCCUAAUAUCAAUGAAAAUCGUCAAUAAAAUGGAAGUUCACUUAUCUCUAGUCGUCGCCUUCUUACGAACAUAUCAAUCGUGUCACUCUUGAACCCUGGUGCCACCACUUUUUCUCUAGCAAAGAUCUAAAAAAAUCUACUUCAUUGUAAAGUGGGUAAGACUUCGACUUUGUUGGAAUAUACGGGAGUAGGAAUACAACUCACUCUACUUAGAUGACAAUCCUAAAAAUAUACACAAGUGCACCUCACUAAGCAAAAUAUGUUCUGCAUUAUUCAAGGUCGUCGAUUUAACAUCCCAUGUUUCUGAGCCUGAGAUACAAUAUUCAUUCAAUUAUGUUCAUACGUGUGUGUUCUUAUAUAUGUGCAUGUACAUCCUUCAAUUGUAGUGUAUCCCACCCAAAAUAUUUUAAUGAGGAAACAAUUCAUUUAGAAAACUACAUAUUGUUUAUAUUUGAUAAAGAAUAUCCAUAAAAGCUUGUGAAUCAAAAGUUGUUUUGGUCAAGUUUUAAUGGCUUACGGGGUUAAGAUAAAUAUUCUACAAAACAUAAUAUAAUUUAGCUCUAGCAACUUAAGUGAUCUAAAACCACAACAACUUAGGUGCUCAAGUGAACUCUAUGCAGCUUGGAUUCAAGACAAUGGCAAGAAAACAAGGAAAGGGUCUAUUUUACUCAUGCUUCAUAAGUGUUGCAUUUGUAUGAAUAAUCCAUCGUAGUGUUAUCUUCUCGGUCUUUUCGGACUCUUAGGGCUUCAAAAACCAAAUCACUUAACCCCGAGUUAGGUUAAUGUUUUAAGGCAUAUUACCCAUGUGUCAUUCAUUAACCAACUGUUGAUGUGUUAUUCCAUAUGUAGGAACUCUCACAUAUCUUUUCUUCCCCAUGUCACCUUAAUGUCUUCAUCUUGUUUUCCUUCACUUCUAUCCUCUCACACAUUCUUAUCAAUUUCUCACGAGCAACUAUGUUCCCCUCUAGCAAUAUAUGAUACCAAAAAGAGAUUGCAUUGAGAAGCACAUCGAUGAAAAUUUGGCGCAACCAUGGUUUAAUGCAGGAUUAUAGAGAGAGACUCGAAAUGAGAGUCCUAGGGAAUUUUUGUGGUUCAUUAUGUCAUUCACUAUGUAUGAUGACAAGUGGGGAAAAUGGUGAUGCAGUAACAUGGUUACCACGUGAGUGAUACCAUCUUCAUAUCCCACAUAAGGAUUAAGUAAUAUUAUUUUACAUUUUAGGGGUUAAAUCAACCCAAUAAAUAGUUUGAGAGAUUAUCCAGAUAAAUGUGAUACUUUAAGCAAACAAAUAUACUUCUUUGAGAAUAAAUGAAGAAUUUACCACUAACAUGUGCAACGGCAAAAUGAUUUAGCCAACAUCACUUCUCAACAAAGUUCAAUCACGUGGAAUAUUUUGAUAUGUCUAUUUGAAGACAGUAGUGUAUAAUCAAUUAAGUAUGUCUAGAGGGAAUGAAUAGGCUACUAGGCAAAAGGGGAUUAUUUUCCCAAAUUUUAGUUCCCUUCAUAGUUUUAACCUUUUAUAUGGUACUCAAUCAAGCACCCUACGCAUGCAAGUCUACAAGAGUAUAGGCAACGACAUGUGAAGAUUUGCAAGAGUAAAAUAAGAGUAGAGUUAGAGAAAUGUAGACAUUGUGUGGCUGGAUGAAGAUUAUUCCCGUGAUUCGGAUGGUUGGCACUACCCUACUCCAGGUUGGUGGAGGCUUCGUCCACGAAGGAUCUAAGAUCACGAAGAUCAAGGUUGCGAGUUGCACUAAGGAACUAGCCCGUGAAGGACCAUAACCUACCAAGUGUCCACGAAGGAUCAACCAACCUAUGUCAUCAUGGCAAUACGUCCAUGAAUGAUCGAUCGGCCUCACUCGAGGUAGAUCUUCAUGAAGAAUGUGAUAUCUAGGCCGUUACAAACUUCUUGGUUUCUUCACAAUCUUGAUCCCAAGCACCUAGCUGAUCUAGAAGGUGCACACCUACAAAAAAUAAUAAGAUUGAGAUUGCUUGUUGAUGAAUCCCUUACUCUUGUGCUUUAAAAUAUGAUAUCUUCCACACACAAACUAUCUCAAGAUUUGGCUUUUGGAUUGGAGAGUAUGGGUGGGAAGCGAAGAGGUGGUUUGAUGGUUGGAGUAGAACACCCUCUGAAAUAAGCACAAGAAGUUGGAGUUCUCUCUCGAAUCGUAGGGCACGAGUGGGGUUUGCUUUGACUGAACCAAUGGGAUGGGUGGGGUAUAUAUAGGCCGGACCAAAAAUAUGAUCAUUACACAUGCUUUAAUACAACUCUGAAGCUCUGAAUAGACUUAAAGAUGCCAACUUUCAAAUGAAUGGAAUGGUCCGACUGGAUAACAUCCGGAGGAUCUGAGGUGACUACUGCAGCUAUGACACACUCUUUGUAACCACUUUGAAAAUUCUGAGCAGAUGCGUCCAAAAAUUCUAAGAUGGCAAUAGAAGGUUUUUCCAAAUUCUUUAGUGGUUCCGAGUGGAGUACUUGGCAGCUCCGAAGUGCUAGGGUUUGCAACGACUAUAUCUGGAUGAACUGCUCAGCGGUUCCGACUGGAAGAUCUUGGCAGCUCAAUGGCAUGAAGGUAGAUAUAGUGGACAAAAUUAAAGGUUUUGAGGUAAUUGGAGUUUGACCUUAAGCAGGAAAGGAUCAUUAAAUCAUCAAAAUAAGUAUUUGAGGAACUGAAUAUAAAUAAAUCAUCUAUAUGCUAAGUUUGGCAAAACUUCCCAUAAAAGUGAUAUUCAUAAGGAAACGAUAAAAUGUUUCAAGGGGUAUCUAAUAAGGAAAUUCUUGGUAUGCACAAUAAUAAUCCUAUAAUAGCACAACCUAUACCACCCACCACCUCCUACUUGUGUUUGACUACUUAUUUAUUUAUUAUGUCAAACAAAACCAUCCAAUAAAAAACUUACUUUGAGGGGGUACUUCUUUUUCAAAGCUGCAAGAACGGAAUGUUUUAAAAGAAUUCAUCAUAACUAAAAUCCCUACACAUGGUGUAGUUACGAAAUAUCCUAGUGUUUUAACAACACAAAUAACCGAACGUGAACCAAUCAGUGGUAUCCUUGACUAUAUUCUACACACUUUGGGGAAAAUAAUCUUCAUUAAAAUUUUGACAAGGGUGUUGUUUUUAUGUCUAAAAUGAAGUACAACUAUUGACACUAUUGACAUCGAGACUGGAAGGGAACUAGUGGUUUAGCCAUUUAAGUAGCUGAACUAUAGUGGACACGUUGGUCGUACCACUUGCCCUCUUGUCCUCUUCCUAGGUUUUCUAUGACCUUGUUAUAUCCUUAGAAUAAGAAUCAGUCUCGUGUGUGGUUGUCAAUGGUAAUUAUACGUAAACUCGUGCAGCACUACAGUUAAACCAUAGCAAGAUAAAAGAACAACAUGAUCCAAGUUCUUAGUGGAGCAAAAGUAAAAAAGAUAUCAAUCCAACUCACUCCCUCUCUCUCUCUAUCUANNNNNNNNNNNNNNNNNNNNNNNNNNNNNNNNNNNNNNNNNNNNNNNNNNNNNNNNNNNNNNNNNNNNNNNNNNNNNNNNNNNNNNNNNNNNNNNNNNNNNNNNNNNNNNNNNNNNNNNNNNNNNNNNNNNNNNNNNNNNNNGGGGGGGGGGGCACUCAAUUCUAGUUUGAGAAUUGUUCUUGUAAUAGCAAUCACAAGUUUAUUAGGAAGUUCUUGUAAUAUCAAUCACAAGUUUAUCAAGUAUCUUCCACAUAUGAAGGUUACACAUGCAUUUUGCGUUAUACUUUAUAAGAGUAGACAUUUUCACAUAUGUGCAUUUUGUCACUAUCUUCAAAAUAACACUCAUGCCAAUGGUGUAUAAUAUUCACAUAUCUAGUUUUAGGAACAUAUUGGCAAACUCUUUACCUGUCCAUAAUUGGUUGCGAGAAAAAAAUAUCAAAGAUAUUGGACCUUAGCCCAUGUUUUUUCAUCUCCCUAAGUUUAGAUUUCAAUAUUUCCUUUGAUCUAGACCAACCUUCUUGAUGUCUCCUCUAGUCGACAUCAUUUUUAGUGAAACCAAUUGAUAUCUACGUGUCAAUAUAACAAACACUCUCUCUUUACAAGAACAAGACUUUUAUUCCAUACGUAUGAUAUCAAGAGUAGAAAGAAGCCACACAUAGCCCCGACUUCCAAAAAGGAUGCAACUUACGCUAUAGAACAUGUGCUUUAGUGUUUAGUCCCUCUCUCCAAAGCCGAAACAGGCAUCCUGAAAGUGAGUUUUCUUCUAGAGAAACUCACUAAGAAUCUCAUUAAGGAUUGAGGCAUUCUUCUUCAUCAAAUCUGUGAGAGCUUCAAAUUAGUCCAAAGGACAUCUCGGAAUCGAAGAUCAAGAACUAAGGACGGCGUCCGAGCAAUUGGACCAUGGGUGCCGAUGAGCCCAAAAGUUAUCCUUUCAUGUCCCUGCAACAUGUACUUGUUAUACUGCAAUCUUCAUUGUCAUGACAGCACACCAUCAGCGUCAAUCUUGGCAAGAUGCCCCUUAGGCGAGAUCCACUUCUUCGCCUAGUUUGUUCCUCUCCUGAAAAUAACGACUGCAUCUAGCCCCGCAGCGUAGCCAAAAAAUAGAGGCCAUCCAGUUAUUUGUUGAUGGAACACAAGGACAACAUUGGUGUUUGAAAUUCAUUAUCAUGACCUACUCACUGGAUCACCCACGUUGUCGGCAAAACCUUUGCCAAGUCAUCCUGAUUUAGCAUCACCAAUAAACAAAAUUGAGAUCCGCGUUCAUCCCUUGAACAUAAACAAAGAAAACAUGUCGCAAGUACCCAAACUUUGCCGAAUCUUUACUAAUUACCGGGCAAUCUUUUUAUUCUUCCACCACAUGCAAGUGGCCCAAGCAGCUUGUUAAGACGACCACACAAAGAAUCAUCCAGUAUUCUUAUGAUGUACUCAAGAAUUUGACAAAAUAUGUAGCAUUGCCUCAUUUUCUCUAUCAUUAAAAUUGUUGAUCUAGUAUCUUCACCCUCCAUGAAUCAUUAGAUCCAUCUAUCUACUCCCUGGCCAUAGAUAGGGCUUAGUUACCUUCAGAACAUCGGCCUAGGAUCUAGUUCUCUCUUAAAAAUCAACAUAUCAUCAGCCAACUCAAACCUCUUAGGGAAAUUCAAAGGAUUGGAAUACUAGAUGCUUGUUUUGAAAUGUUAUGUAGACAAACAAACCAAAAUCUUGUAGGAUUCAAAUGGACAAGAUAUUGCAAUUGUGUGUAUGUCAUAUUCCAGUGUUCCUUAGAAUCAUGUGAAUUAAUCUUGACAGAGGAAUUAGACCAGGCAGACAGCUUAGCGUAUCAUUUAUGGGCAUAAGAAAAUCUCAAGCAACAUAGAUUUGCAAUACCCUUUUUUGGCAAAUCAUGCUGGCUCAUAAUACCAACUCAGGAGGCUCGUUGUCAGCCAAACUAAAAAGUAAUAGUAGUUCGGCCCAAGUAAAUUGGGACAAGGCCUGUCUCUGACUGCCAGGUAGUGAUCCAUGAUAUUCGAAGUGAUACUGGAGGUACAUAUGCAAGUAUAAUCAAGGAAAUUGGAACUACUGCUCAUGAAUUCCAAGACGCUCAGCCUCACUAAACAUGUCUGUGGUUAGAUAUAGGCUGCCAUUAGUGGCUUCUAAAUCCCCCUGAUCUAAGUUGUAUCCCCAUGAAUUUUGUUCAAUGAAUAAAGUGUGUUUAGAUGNNNNNNNNNNNNNNNNNNNNNNNNNNNNNAAACAGCUCUAACUGACUACUGUUGCAAGGUCUCAGACAAGAAAAUAUGUGAGCCAUUGGACACAGAACACCACAACAGAUGAUCAACUGCUGACCAAAUGGAUAAGAUUUUGAUCUCUGCCAACUCUUAUAAAUCUUAAUAAAUCACUAGUGAAUAGCAUGGAUACUGUGCCAACCCCAAGUGUUGAGCCAACUACUUCAACUUGCAACCAGAGGUUGAAAUCGCCUUUAUACAACGAAAGGUAUUGGUAUAAGAGAUAUUCUUGACAACAAACAAAUUGUAGGGUUUAGCAAAGCCAGAUUAGAACUCGUGACAGAUAUAAACACUACUAACUGAAUCCAAGCUGACCAAAAUGGCCUUACAGUUCGUGAGCAUCAAGCUGAACUGCAAUUUACUCGACUCUUGAAGCUUAUUUGAGGUGAACCUAAGAUUGCGCUGUCUGCAGCGCCGUUUGUUUUACAUUCAAAUGGCCCAUCAGAACAGCUACAGAACUAAACAUCAAAGCUCAACUAGAAUAGUAUCAACCAACACAAGUGUAUUUUCCCACUUAAGAUAGGUCGUCGUCCCUUCUACAAGAAGGCUCAAAUACUUUGCUAAAUUCUGCAGUUACAGAAUAACCUCAAUGAUUAUAGGUCGCAAGACCAUGCAAAUGUUGGCCCAAGAAGAAACAACAAAUGUGGUAGGAAUGCUCCUGUAGGAAACCAUUUGGAAAGAGCUCUUGUGCGUACAGCUCUUAUCAGAAUCCUAACCUCCUUUGAACCUCAGACAAAAAAUGAAAUGUAAGACCAACAGGACAGCUCAGAAGGAAUAAUGGAGCUAAGGAAACAUGUACCUGCGCCCAUGUUCUGAAAGUUUUACUCCCUCCAUAAAGUGAAUCGAGUGAGGCAUUUUGGCUCCCGAGCUCAUCUGCACCCGCUCCGACGAAAAAAUCAAAACAAAUAGUAAACAAAUUCAAAAAAUUCCAAAAAAAAAUGUGUGAUAGAUAAUUUGAUGCGUGAGGUCCGCUCCAAAUUUGAACUCAUUUGGGCAUCUGAGACGCUCUCGGCAAAAAAGACAAAUCUGGGUCUGUAAAAAAGGUCUACUGUUCAUGAACUUUUCUGACCCGAUUUGUCUUUUUUGCCAAGAGCUGCUCAGAUGUCCAAAUAAGAUGAAAUUUGGAGCGAACCUCACGCAUCAAAUUAUCUACCACACAAAAAAAAUUGGAUUUUUUUGAAUUUUUCUACUAUUUGUUUUUAAUGUUUUUCUGACCGGGAGCAGAUGAGCCUGGGAGCAGAAGC